rnacentral:tRNA from 1 species
GUCCUUGUCGAUUAGUGGUUAGAUCAUCACGUUGUGGCUUAUUCACAAAGCCGUGAAGGCGAAGGCUCGAAUCCUUCCUGGGACA